AUUGAACGCUGGCGGAAUGCUUUACACAUGCAAGUCGAACGGCAGCACGGGAGCUUGCUCCUGGUGGCGAGUGGCGAACGGGUGAUUAACAUAUCGGAACGUACCCAGUCGUGGGGGAUAACUAUCCGAAAGGAUAGCUAAUACCGCAUACGUCCUGAGGGAGAAAGCGGGGGAUCGCAAGACCUCGCGCGAUUGGAGCGGCCGAUAUCGGAUUAGCUAGUUGGUGGGGUAAAGGCUCACCAAGGCGACGAUCCGUAGCGGGUCUGAGAGGACGACCCGCCACACUGGAACUGAGACACGGUCCAGACUCCUACGGGAGGCAGCAGUGGGGAAUUUUGGACAAUGGGGGCAACCCUGAUCCAGCCAUUCCGCGUGAGUGAAGAAGGCCUUCGGGUUGUAAAGCUCUUUCAGCAGGAACGAAACGGUCGGCUUUAAUAAAGUCGGCUAAUGACGGUACCUGCAGAAGAAGCACCGGCUAACUACGUG
rnacentral:rRNA from 1 species